GCUUCGGUGGCUUAGUUGUUAGAGCGUUUGUCUCGGAUGCUGGAGGUCGUGGGUUCGAUACCCGGUCGAGUCG